GCACUAUUGAUGUCCUUGCCAAUCUUCCCCUUGACACUCUAUAUGUCUCCAAUAACCGUUUUACUGGCUGGAUUCCCGAUCAAUUGAAAAGCAUCAAUUUGCUGAAGGAUGGUAAUUCAUGGAGUUUGGGGCCUACGCCUCCACCUUCACCUGGUGUCCCUCCUGCCACUAGAAGUAACAGAAAUCACA